rnacentral:lncRNA from 1 species
AAGAAGAAGAGAAGAUGAACUUUGAGAGGCAUACUAAACAUUGUUUGUUUGUUUGAUUGAGAGAGAAAAUGAGAAGAACAGAAAGUGGUAGCUAGCUACUAAAAAGCAAAAGGUGUGUGAGUGUUAAAAUGAGAGAGGUGGUGUUGUUGUUGUUGUAAAGCAAAUUAGUUUUGGUUGUUCACACACACACUCUCUGCUGUGAGUGUUGUUGUGGAUGCAGCAGAAGAAGUAAGAGAGGAACAAGAUGGGAGCAUGUGAGUGAAUCAAAACGUCCAUCACUCACUCAUACAAUACAACACAACACGCAUGAGAGAUUUUUGGAAUUAGCCACUACUACUAGUACUAUGCAUUGCUUUCUUUUCUUUAGUAUUUUCU